rnacentral:rRNA from 1 species
UCGGGAAUUUUGGGCAAUGGGCGAAAGCCUGACCCAGCAACGCCGCGUGAGGGAUGAAGUAUUUCGGUAUGUAAACCUCGAAAGAAUGGGAAGAAUAAAUGACGGUACCAUUUAUAAGCUCCGGCUAACUACGUGCCAGCAGCCGCGGUAAUACGUAGGGAGCAAGCGUUGUUCGGAUUUACUGGGCGUAAAGGGCGCGUAGGCGGCGCGGUAAGUCACUUGUGAAAUCUCUGAGCUUAACUCAGAACGGCCAAGUGAUACUGCUGUGCUAGAGUGCGGAAGAGGCAACCGGAAUUCUUGGUGUAGCGGUGAAAUGCGUAGAUAUCAAGAGGAACACCUGAGGCGAAGGCGGGUUGCUGGGCCGACACUGACGCUGAUGCACGAAAGCCAGGGGAGCAAACG